rnacentral:rRNA from 1 species
UACGGAGGGGACAAGCGUUGUUCGGAUUUACUGGGCGUAAAGGGCGCGUAGGCGGGCCUGUAAGUCGGGUGUGAAAGCUCGCGGCUCAACUGCCAGAGUGCAUUCGAUACUGCAAGUCUUGAGUACAGGAGAGGAAAGUGGAAUUCCAGGUGUAGCGGUGAAAUGCGUAGAUAUCCGGAAGAACACCAGUGGCGAAGGCGGCUUUCUGGCCUGAUACUGACGCUAAAGCGCGAAGGCGUGGGGAGCAAACAGG